GAGGGCGUGUGAGGGGCGGGGUUUAAGUGGACGCAGCGAGCAGCCGUGCGUCUUGACGUCACGAAGACCUUAUAUACUCGACUCAGCCGCCAUCUCAGCCUUUCGGAGCUGUGCGGCGCGCUGAGCAGGAAUGGCAAUGUGGACCUCUGAUGGAACAUCUGGUGGGAUCUCACAGUCAGUUCUGUGGCAAAGGAGGAUGAAGACUUAAAGAGGACUCAACAGGAAGCUGGAUAACAGAAAGAGAGCAAUGUGCUAGAAUAGAAGACCAGAAAAUGAAAGAUAUGAAAAAAAGGUGGAGUUUAAGGCUGGAUAUACAGCUUGAAAAGUACAAAUGAUGGUUUGAAUAAAGAAAGGUAUGAACGCAUGGGUCACUUCAAGUGAAGGCACUGCAAACACAAUGAUCAGUCAUUCUGGAUUUCUGGUCCUUCUGAAUUUUAAAGGCUGCGGUGACAAGUGGACAUGCAGUGACUACCUUUUGUACCUUCCUGUUUCUGAGGUGCCUGGAUGGAGGUUCAAAUAGAAGAUAGUGUCAGAUAUACAUUGUGUUGUCAAAAUUUUACCAUUAAAGUGCAUUACAACAUG
rnacentral:lncRNA from 1 species